CAACAACAGAGCUUGAGGACAGGAAGAAGCAGCAGGUUGGGCUAACGGUUACUGUUCUUACCCUUUUUCUGUUUUGUCUCCCUACAGACACUUAGACAUCGCUGGACUGCACGAGUGUCACCGUCCUGAGCCCUGGGUUUCCCCCUCGGCGAUAAAAAUUCUUUUUUUCCUCUCUUUUCUUUUUUUGCUUGUUUAUAUAAACAUCUCACUGCUAGGCAUGGAGGCCCGGGGGGGUGGCCCGGGUUAUUUCCCCCCCUUCUCGGGUAUCGCCCUCCGGCCUUCCUCCGCUGCCAGUGCACCUCCAGGCUCCAUCCAGGACAUCCUUGGAAGGUGACUUCAACUGACAACGGCAACUGUGACGUGGAGUUCCUGAUCGGGAUUUGAACCGAUAACCCCCCCACCACGGGGCAUGGCAUCUACCAGCGAGCCACAGGAUCUCACAAGGCUUUCUUAUUUUUUUUCGACAUUUAUCUCUCAGAUUUCCAACUUGCUGUGUGAAAAGCAGUAGCUUGAGCAAGAUUUGAACCCACAACCUUUUGAGUGCAACUACAUUGCUUUUCUUAGUGAGCCACCGUGGCUCAGGUCCAGCACCUU
ensembl:lncRNA